rnacentral:misc_RNA from 1 species
UAUAACAGGUCGGGUCCUUGGGUCUGCUUGCGGUUUGUUACAAACACAAGCUUACCUUAAAUGAAUUAGCUGGACUUCAGCAGAGUUGUUAAGUAACAUUUUGAACUCUCGUAAUAUGAAGUCUGCUUUCUAACCAAAUCUUUCGAGAUUUAAUUUUCUAUUUUGGCCUCAAAUCAGGUAGGACUACCCGCUGAACUUAA